UUAGUAAAGUCACGCACAUAUUGGCUCCUUCUCAACAUUUUAGCCACGCUCCUGUCCAGAUCAUGUGGUAGGCAGCUUACCAUGAAGGUUUUGAGACACAGUCACAAUAGCAUAAAGCAUAUCGCUCCCCUCCCUUCUCUCUAGUCUCACAACAUGACCUACAUUGCGUAAGUAAUUAUGUUCGCUACUCCAACGUGGUGACAGUAAGCUAGAGCUCGCAGUUAUCCUGGGCUUUCAGAAAGUUUAGCGCCUUCUUUCCAAACUGAAUUUUGGCGUUUAUUCAACGGUCAUACAGCCAAAUGUCAUACACUUUUUCAUUAACAGUAGCGUUGGGGUGCGUAACAGUGAGCAUAUCAUCUGGAAUCAGUCUCAACCGAUGUCCGAAUCGUUCCGAGUCGGAUCUUUUCAAUGAUCCAACUGAACCGGUUCACAUAACAAUACUGAACGAAGAACAUACGACUCGUAAUGAUACGAGAACGGGAUGAGCAGGCCGAUAGUAAAAACAAUUGGAGUGAACUGAGGAUUUGUCUUAAAAAUUUGGUGUUAAUACGUUAAAAAUACGACCUCUAAAUAUGUUUACAAAUGACUGACAGUUUUAGUUUUCAACAUGCGUAGAAAAGAAAGGUUUUAAUUUAACUCAUUCAACCGAGACAUGUACAACAACAGUAAAUGUUGAGUUAAUGUACUGCAGGCUAUAUGCAAAUUAUUUCUAUAGUUUCUUACAAACAUAAGUAGGACGCAUGAAAUUGCACAAGUAUCCUUUAAACCAAACUCAAACGUGCUGCGUAGUGCGUAACCAAUGAGGUUCAUUCUCGUGUGUUACGCAGCACGUUUGAGCUUCCGGAGGAGGUUUAGUUAUUGUGCGUCAUUCAGGUUAGGUUGAGCUUCUGCUUAUGUUUGCUGAUCAAUGUUUACAUGUAAGUAAAAGCCUCAAUUAAAUCUGUCAUAAUCAUCAUAAAAAGCAAUCGAGUCUCUUCAGAGAAUUUGGACUAAACCACUCAACUCAUAUGGAUUAGUUUUACGAUGUCUUUUUGACCUUUUUGAAGCGUCAAAGUGGUCGUUGCAAAGGCAGUCAAUGGAGGAACAGACGUCUUUCAGAUUUCAUCAAAAAGAUCAUCAUUUUUGUUCCGAAGAUGAACAAAAUUCUUAUCAGUUUGGAACGACAUGAGGUUUAGAGAAGUGCUUUGGGUUCGGGGACUACAGUAAGGAAAGUAUUUCAAACAGAAAGCACACGCUCCCUCUCCUCCCACCGGACAACCACCUGAUAAGUCAUAGGACCCGGAAAUAUCACGCCUCGAUUGGAUUGCUUUGCUUUUCAUCCGCUUGGGCUUUGGGGUCAAAGAAAUAAAGAACAACACACACAAAGACUCAUGCGCAGCAGUCUGGUUCCGUGGUGAAACUGUUGAGCCUGACACACAGCUGCUGGGUACUAAUGGGAUUCCAGCCUCACCGUUAUCCAGCUCUGCUCGCUGCUGCAAAGAGCUGUCAAAAUAACGCGCGGCUCACAGCCCAGAGGGAGAGAAAGUGUUGGGUGUUGGUUUCAUUUCUCAUCUUCACUGUAUGUGAUGUACCUCUCUAAACUGCACAUCGUCUUCAUAACUGAGAAUAGCUCUGCCAAUCAAAUAAGCCAAACACAGUCCAACCUAUUGUGCUGUCUGUUGCCAUAGUGAAGUGCUUCUUCAGUGCAGAUUUUCUGGUAGUUAUGGUUCUCCUGAGGAUGACCAGGAAUGCGGCAUUGGAAGCGGUACUGCCAAAACUCAGCAAACCACGGGUUCCUUGUGUUGGUGUCCAAACGCAGCUUCAGAAAGUACUCAUUAAAUGACUGAACUUCUUCCGUUUGCAACUUCAUUGUGAUCCCACCAUCUGCUUCCUGCUCAUAUCCUUCUACCACCUCAUCACGAUCUGCCCAGCCAUCACUUUAGGAGAAAAGAGAGAAGGAAUUUGUGUCAUAAUGAUCCAGCUUUUUAAACACAGCUUUCAUAUUUCAUACAAAUGAGAUUCAGUAAACCAGUGGGCACCAAAGCAUUUCACUGUUGAGCUGUGAGUAGUUGUGUAUAGUUGAUCUACUUUAAUCCUGAAAGGUAAACUGAACAUUUUAGGAUUUUGUAAACAUAUGGAACUUUUGAACAAAUAAAUAAAUUAAAAUAAAAAUUAUUAACUUAUAUUUCAGAUUCUACACUAUUUUUGAAUGACAGCAACAUUCUGGCCCGGUUUCACAGACAGGGCUUAGCCUAAGCCAGGAUUAAGCCUUAGUUCAAUUAGGAUAUUUAAGUAGCUUUUAUAAAAAGUACCGUUAUGCUGAUCAUAUAAAUGUAUAAAUGUAUUUAUAAAUGUAAAUUGGAAGCAUUUCUCUAGUGACUGCAGACUUUUGGACUCCAUUUUCUUUCACUCCUCUUUCACCACUCGCAUAUUUCUCACAGUCACUGCUUAUUUUUUGCUUAUUUUGUUUUGUUAUUCAAUUCCUUCAUCAUUUUCUGCUCGACUAACUUUCCUUCCUUUACUUCCUUCCUUUACUAACCAUGUGGUAUCAUACAGCGUAUUUUGACAAAAUUACCUUUAGAGGCUUUGACCUAAAAUACAUCUCCCUAAACAGCUUUGCACCCCUACAGUAGAGCAGAAAAUGGCAGAGAUUAGAUAGAGCAGAGCUCUACAGAGAGUUUUAUUACCUCUAUGAAUAAUGAAUGAGCUGAAGCUCAGGUAGAGAGUCAGUGUGCUGCUAUGAUAGGCAGAUCUGGCAGUGUCCUGAGGCUAAAGACAGGCUAACUAGAGAGGUGAUGGCACAUACUGUAGGAGGACAGGAGCUGUUUGAUUUCAUCACAGUACAAUCCUUCCCUAAUUCUCUUCUCAGAUUAAUCUCAACAUGUUCACCUUCAUCAUUUUUUAUUUUCUCGCUUCUCGCUGCACAUUUUUAUUGUGCCCUCUUUUUACCACUCUUGUUUUCUCUUCUUCUCUCCUUCCUCUCUUUUUGUCCUUUCUUUCCUCUAUUAUUUAUUUAUUUAUUUUUUAUUAUUACAGUAAGUGACAGUACAUUUAUAAUGUUACAAAUGAUUUCUAUUUAAAAAAUGCUGUUCUUUUGAACUUUCUAUUCAGCAAAGAUUCCUGAAAAAAAAAAAAAUGUAUCCAAAAAUAUUAAGCAGCACAGCAAUGUUUUCACCAUUGAUAAUAAUAAGAAUUCGUUCUUGAGCAGCAAAUCAGCAUAUUAGAGUGAUUUCUGAAGGAUCAUGUGACACUGAAGACUGGAGCAAUGAUGCUGAAAAUUCAGCUGUACCAUCACAGGAAUAAAUUACAUUUUAAAAAUAUUCAAACAGAAACAUUAUUUUAAAUUGUAAUAACAUUCAACAGUAUUACUAUUUUACUGUAUUUUUAAUCCAAUAAAUGCAGCUUUGGUGAUCAUAAGAGACUUCUUUCAAAAACAUUUAACCGACCCUAAUCUUUUGAAUGGUAGUGUGUGUUCAUACUGUACAUCUAUAUUACACAUUGUCAUAUAAACAAGACCUAAUGUAUCACAUACAUCACAGUAAUGGUUGGUUCCCAGUUCAUUUUGAAUCAAACAUAAUUUUUGAAACUGUAAAAUGACUGAAGUUCAGACAGGGAGUCAAUUGUGAACUCAAUGGCUUUGGCUGAUUCACUGAGUGAUUCUGAUUAAAAUGACUAACUCACAAGCAAGUUCAAGGCUUUCGUUUUAAAUCUUUUCAACCGACUCAUUAAAAAGAACCAGUUCAUAAGAGUCAUUUGAUCAAGAAUCAAGCAUCACGGCUUUCACUAUGUGUUUGUUGUUGCGUACAGGAAACACUAACGAUCUAAAGAUGUAAUUAACUAACCUUACAGAUGAUGACAAAACGGCAUUUGGAUGCAGACAAUGUUUUUCCGACUGACGCCAAUAGUGACUAGAUGCUCUCCUUUUUUGUCCUCCUCUGCUCUCUCCUCCUAUCCUCUGUUCCCUCAUUACUCAUUCAAAUCCAGUAUAUUGUGCAUGUGUGCUCUGGUUGACUGUUGCUCGAUCCUCUCUAGAGGACUGAGUAAGACAGUGCAGGCUUAGGCUGAGGGCCAUUAGAACUCAUCCAGAAGCCUUUACUAAUUCAUGGCGCUCCAGUUAGCAGCAGCCUGGCUCUGUGUUUCACAGGCAGCAUUGCUGCUGGGAGCCCCCAUCACGCCUGCUCUCUCUCACCCCACACCAGCUUUCAUCUGCCUCCAUUACUCUCUCUCCCC